rnacentral:rRNA from 1 species
GACGAGCGCUGGCGGCGUGCCUAAUACAUGCAAGUUGAGCGCUGAAGGUUGGUACUUGUACCAACUGGAUGAGCAGCGAACGGGUGAGUAACGCGUGGGGAAUCUGCCUUUGAGCGGGGGACAACAUUUGGAAACGAAUGCUAAUACCGCAUAAAAACUUUAAACACAAGUUUUAAGUUUGAAAGAUGCAAUUGCAUCACUCAAAGAUGAUCCCGCGUUGUAUUAGCUAGUUGGUGAGGUAAAGGCUCACCAAGGCGAUGAUACAUAGCCGACCUGAGAGGGUGAUCGACCACAUUGGGACUGAGACACGGCCCAAACGCCUACGGGAGGCAGCAGUAGGGAAUCUUCGGCAAUGGACGAAAGUCUGACCGAGCAACGCCGCGUGAGUGAAGAAGGUUUUCGGAUCGUAAAACUCUGUUGGUAGAGAAGAACGUUGGUGAGAGUGGAAAGCUCAUCAAGUGACGGUAACUACCCAGAAAGGGACGGCUAACUACGUG